AUUGAACGCUGGCGGCAUGCCUUACACAUGCAAGUCGAACGGUAACGGGCCUUCGGGUGCCGACGAGUGGCGAACGGGUGAGUAAUGUAUCGGAACGUACCUUUCAGUGGGGGAUAACGUAGCGAAAGUUGCGCUAAUACCGCAUAUUCUGUGCGCAGGAAAGCAGGGGAUCGCAAGACCUUGCGCUGAUUGAGCGGCCGAUGUCAGAUUAGCUAGUUGGUGGGGUAAAGGCCUACCAAGGCGACGAUCUGUAGCGGGUCUGAGAGGAUGAUCCGCCACACUGGAACUGAGACACGGUCCAGACUCCUACGGGAGGCAGCAGUGGGGAAUUUUGGACAAUGGGGGCAACCCUGGUCCAGCCAUGCCGCGUGAGUGAAGAAGGCCUUCGGGUUGUAAAGCUCUUUCGGCCGGGAAGAAAUCGCAUGGGCUAAUACCCUGUGCGGAUGACGGUACCGGCAUAAGAAGCACCGGCUAACUACGUGCCAGCCGCCGCGGUAAUAC
rnacentral:rRNA from 1 species